UUAGAGGAUAGAUGGCUUUUAUUCCUAUGAAGUUAUCUGGAAAUCAUCUUCUUAACUAUCUUUUUUUCCCUCAAAGGGGCCAUAGUUUGAAGGAUUUGUGAUGAGACUUUUGGUCUGUGAAGCCCAAGACACAAUCUCCAACAUGCACAGGAAAUCCAGUAUCAAAUUUCUAACAGGUCUUCAGAGACAGGCCCAGGACUGGCUUGAGCGUGUCAGAGAGGUGUGCGCUGUCUACUUCCCAUCAUACAUGGCCACACAUGCCUGUGGCUGUGAGAAAUACUGGUGGUGACAAAGACAAUGAGAUGGCAGAGAAAAAGAUCAGUGGGGUUUGCGAAGGUGAUUAGGAUGUCGUCUUAGGUAUAAUUAAGGACUUAAUAAGGUUGAAGGAAAGAGAGGACAUUACAAAUACCAAGGCCCCUGAGAGAUGUGCCUGGCAACCCAGAAAGGGACAUAUGGGGGAAAACGCCUUAGUGUAACCGGGUCAGAAUUUUCAUUCUGGGCAGAACUGGAAUUUGAAUAAUAAUACUGAGUCAUAUACAGCAUACAGCUAUGACAUUUCAUUUAUUUCUCCAUAUAAUGCAAUAAAGUAGAUGGAUUAACCCUUGACUUUUACAGACGGAGCGGAGGAGAAUGAAGAGGCGUCAGUUUGGGCAUCAGGCUGGAUCUUCACACUCGGACCUCACUCUGCUCUAUCCUGCCCAGUGUUGCUUCAAGGCAAAAAGAUUUGACACCAGUUUCAGUUUAGAUCCUGCCUCUCUACCUGGGUGUGACCCGGGUCCAUCUCCAGCUCGGCCUCUGCUUUCUCUUCAUAAACUUUUGGUGUUAGUCUUCGGAUGAUCUCUAAAACAUGGCCCAGGUGUUCCUUGCCAGUAGAGUGUAGUCAGAUUUGGAGGGACUGGACACUCAGGGUGAACAAGAGGAAGGCCUCAGGAGGCAGUAAAAGCUGACAAGAGGAGAUAAAAUGAAGCGCCUAGGGAUGCAUAUUGGACUAGCGGGCGAAAGGCCAUGACUCCUUAGUUUGCAGAUAGUGAGUGGGAAAGAACUGGGGCCGAGAUUGGGUAAGUUUCCCAGCGCAAUUAAAAAAAAAGAAGAAGAAGAAGAAGAAGAACUAGAAGAAUUACCCGGGUCCGGCCUCUUUCGCGUAGCCUGGGGCUGAGUCGCAGGCUGAGAAAUCUGGUCGGGCCAGUAGGGGGCUCCACCAAGCGCAGUCUCAGAAUGCCCAAGAGCCCCACCGUCGCCCGGGGUCUUCUAGAGGAGUGGGUAGUGGUGGGCGCUGAAGAGCUGUAAAAGACUAGCAGCCCGCGUCCGCGUCCGUCCUCCCCGGGUCCCCAGUCCGCAGGCGGCCGCCGCCUCGGCCCCGCCCUCCCACCUCCAUUCCCGGCCCUGCGGGCCCGAACGGUCCCUCUCGCAACCGAUCCUAUGGCGGGGGCGCGGAGGAUGCGAAUUCCUAGAAGCCUUAAGAGGCUGCCCAGCGUUGGAAGUUCGUAUCCCCGAGAAUGCUGGAGGUUCCAGCUCACACACCCCCUCCGAGCACAGAGUCAGCUGGGGGGUGCUGGGAGGGAGAACGCCCCGCUCCUCAUCCCCCAUCCUUGUGCACCCUGGAGCCCAGCUCCAUACGUUCGGCCACCCCAGGCGGACUUGGAGGUGGUCGGGUAGCGGGUGGUGGCGGGAGGGGACCGGGUAACUGCAGGCCGGAGAGGAGGUCGCUGGGCCGGGCCGGAGGCGCACAGGGGCUGCGUGGCUACCUCUGCGGCACCCGCCCCACCUCC
ensembl:lncRNA